rnacentral:rRNA from 1 species
UGAGGAAUAUUGGUCAAUGGGCGCAAGCCUGAACCAGCCAUGCCGCGUGCAGGAUGAAGCAUCUAUGGUGUGUAAACUGCUUUUGUACGAGAAGAAACACUCCUACGUGUAGGAGCUUGACGGUAUCGUAAGAAUAAGGACCGGCUAACUCCGUGCCAGCAGCCGCGGUAAUACGGAGGGUCCAAGCGUUAUCCGGAAUCAUUGGGUUUAAAGGGUCCGUAGGCGGUUUUGUAAGUCAGUGGUGAAAGCC